CCAACGGCAUAAGUAUUUUACAAAACCGAUCCUGCAAUGAAACGCAGUGAGAUCCAGGCAUCGCGCACGACCUACAAUAAUUAUGAAUAACUCAACGUCUUGACGUAGUUAAAACUUAAUGGUCUGAAUUGACAAGUAGUCUCAGAGAAUGUCGCUGAUCGAAAAUUUAGCGACAUAAUCGUUGGUCAGCCACCGUUAAAAAAUGUCCCUCAAAAUGUUUUGUUCCCAUAGGGGGAUAAAUUUUUUCUGACAUUUUUGCGCAGAGAGAGAAAGAAAAUCUAUCCUUCGAUAACCAGCGUUGAUCACAUAGUUUAUUUAUUAGUCACAGUUCUAUUUUGAGGCAUACGUCAGGGGUUUUACCUUGCAAAGUGUGCAAAAGUCUAAUAACACUAUGAAAGCAGUGGAGUUGAUCCCGGACACCGUCGUCUAGAUUUCAAUGUUUUCUCCAAAGAACAUGUCUUCGGACGACGGCUCAAGUAUUAGCGACACGAGUUCGGAUGCUUCCUCACUCAUUCCGGACGAACAAUCUGGCAGUAGACCCUCGAGGAAACGGAUCCAAUAUAAAAUAAACGUCAAAAAUGUUACUGGCGCUGUUGCUGUUGGACCUCAUGCAAGUGCGGGGAUC